rnacentral:lncRNA from 1 species
UGAUUUGGCCUUUGCAAUCCUCUUCUUCUUGUCAGCAAUUCUCGCCCUCUUCCUUUGAAGUGUAAGUGGUGUCACCAACCUCUGUAUCUUAGGAGCCUUGCUCACCUCCUUACCUGUAUGUAUCAAAAAUUACCAUUACACCCUCCAAUCAAUGAUUCAUUCUACUAUAUACCCUUUUGCAAGAGACAUAAAAAUCAAAGGCUUACCAGCUUUGUUUGUGAAGGUUCUGCGAUAGGUGUUGACAUACUUCCUGACAUCAUCUUCUUUUGAGAGAUUGAAAAGCUUGCGGAUCUUUGAUGCUCUUUUGGGUCCCCUCAUCCUUGGCUUCUCAACAUCGGUCAGUCCGGGCAGGUCAUUGUCACCCUUCUUCACAAUCACCAAAUUCAAGACAGACAGAUCUUGGCUCACAAUGCACCCUCGCACAGACUUCCUCCUGCGUUCACCAUUACGCCUUCCAUACCCCCUGAAGCAAGGAGUACCUAGAUAGGGGCAAAAAAGUCAUUUACUUAAUAUCAAAGCAAAUUGAUUAAAGUAUAUAAAGUUAAAGACUUUAACACAAACCAACCUCGGACAAGUAAAAGACGAACACGCCCUGGAGUCAGCACUCCUUGCUUCAUUGGGAAACCUUGUUUGUCACAUCCUCCCAUGAUCUUGAAAACGUAUCCCUUAAACUCCUGUUCAUCAAAAGAGUAUAGAAGUUGAAUAUCUAGUUAUUGGUUUAAUCAGAUUUUAGUAAUACAAAGUAUAGAUGGAUAUACCUCUCCAAGUGCAUCUCCAUUGACUUCCUGGGAGAUCCUCUUGUCAUAAAAAGCACGACUGUAAAAAUUUUGUUAAAGCAAUAAGUGUUAAUCAUCUCAAUGAUCAAAAGACAAUAACUUUCAAAGUAUAAAAAGAAUGAAUGCAAGAAACUUAACACUCUAAUCAAGUUUUUUUUUGAAAGAACAAAAGGCAUAAAAACGUCCAGCUUUAUCAAAUACAUGUAGUGGAAACAAAACAGAAAUAACAGCUAGGAUUCCAAAUCAAUGCUCAAAACCAGACAUCAAUAAGAACUGUAAAAAAUGAAAUAUCAAUGCACACAAAAGAUAGCCAACUGCAAUUCCUAUUUCUUUUGGAUAAAGAGAGCAUGUGUUUAACAUGAUCAGGGUAAAUCAUCAAAAAAUGAGAUAUUGUUCGAUGUAGAGAAGGGAUUUCAUUUUUUAGAUUGAAGGAUCACUAGACAUGUUCUCAAAAUCUAUUUGCACGCUAAACAAGGAAUCUGUCAUUUCUACAGCUAGAAGCAGAGAUUAACGAGUACAACUAUCUACAGCAAGAAUAAGACAACUGGGUUAACAUUCAACAGGAUUGCUACGAAUAAAACAGAACUACUGGAGUCAAUGCCAGCAAUUCUCUAGAAAUAAGUUCAAAUAUCAAUUUGUGAAGUUGUAGUGAGUCUAAAAAACAAAUAACAAAUAAGAAAAGAGCUUACAGCUUUUGGUCAUCGUCAAUUUCGAGUUUCUUCUGGCAUCCAGUAGUUGGAUUUGCAAUAUUGAACUAAAAAAAUCAUCACAAGUACAGUCACAAAACUACGCAUAUAUAAUUAUGGAUGUGAUGAAAUCAGGUUUGAAGAGAUGGUACCUUCAUCUUCGGACAAGGAGGAGGAGGCCGCCGCGAAGAUGAUUUGGAAACAACGUUUCUUCGUUUCUUGAUGAAUUAGGGUUUUUGAACGUUGUUUAAAGCGUUUUUAUAUCCGGUGUAUAAUUUGCUUGAUUGGGUUAUUGGGCUUUUCUGCACAUGGAUCAAGUCAUCAAACAUUCAAACUGAGUUACUGAGAUACGAGUAAUCUCUAGAUUUUUUUUUUCAAUAUGAUUUACUAUUUAACUUUAUUAUAUUUUGAAUGUGUUCGACGAACUGGGUGGUUAGUUUGUAGUUUUUAUCGUUAGGUUAAACGCUACAUGAGUAGCUUUUGGAUUUGGAGCGUUUUUUUUAAGUAAACUAUAAAAGUUUGUAGUGUCAAAUAAUAUUUUCUGUUCAAAACGGAACAUUUUAUCAAACUCUAGAAGCUAGAAUCUCUCAAACGCUUUAUACCGAACACGCUAUUUAUUAUAAGUAAAAUAGAAAGAAAAAUACAUCAUCAAAUACAAAAGGCGAAAAUAUAGAAAUAAACUAAGUUUUUACGUCUUUGUUUUAUUUGUUUAGAUUUGGACUUUAUUAGGUCAUGGUAGUCUUUAUCUUACUCAGUAGAUAGAGGUGAAGUCCUUGAUUUUUAGAUCGUUGUCGUUUUCGUCUUGCUUAAUGAGUGGAGGUGACAGAUUCUGCUUCAAGUGAAAUGAUGAUAUAUCGCUUCAUGUUAUCCGAUUAAUCCUUCAAACAAAUAUGUAAUUCCUUUGAUCGAAGAGGGGGUUGUUCUCUAGAGAUAUAUUAUUUUACCACUAAAGGAAAAAAUAGAUUUUAAAAUUAUUGGAGAAAUCCCGACGGUUAGUAAAUCACACACAAUGUCAAUAGUAUUAGAAAUAUUGGUUUAUUUUAUUUCCACCCAGACAAAAUAUCUAGAUUUCUUUUUAAACUCUUUAUUGGUCCAGUUUCGCUAUUAGGAAUACAAGUUUAUGCUCUUUUAGUCUUUUACCAACUUCAUUUCAUAAAUAAUCAAAAAGUUGCAUAUUAUAAUUGUUGGCUUUAUAUACCAUAAACCUCACCGAAUUUUGCAUGUGGGAACAUAAUGGGAAACUUAAUUUCUUGAGAGUGAUUAUGGUAACUCUAAUCCGGAUUAAUAUUACUUGUUUCCAAAGCAACCAAUGACGGCCCAAACCUAAUGAAACCCUAAUCUUGUUUAAUAUAUAAACGACUCUUUUUAUACAGAAGAGGGGGACAUUCUUUAGCUCUUGUUUUUCAUCACACAUUCACAGAACCCUUUAGCAUAUUGGCUUACGUUUUUUGUGCCUAGAAACGUAAGUGUCCACUUAGAUUAUUCUAGACCGAAUUUCUUGUAACCCAGACAUAUGGUAGAAAUAUCAGUUCGGAAAGUGAUAUCACGAUCCAAGUUGGUAUCCAGAUCUCCAUCACAAGCCCUAAAUUUCCCAACAAACACAUUCUUUAAAAUCUAUGAAGUGUGAAUCCUUCCUUCGCUUUUAUUAAUUUCAUUCAUUCUGCUUCUCCGUCGCUAUCAUCCACAUCUCUCAUUACUUGAUCCUCAUCCGCACUAUCAUCAUCUACAUAUGUUUGAGAGCUCACUACCUCUCCUGUCAAGUUCUUAUGUUUCAAGUUGUCUAUCAAAAUAUGAUUCUAUUGUUUUAGCCAUUCAACUAUUAUAUCAUUAUAAUGAUAAUAAAAAAACAGAAUUUGCAUCCACUUGAUGAAGAAUGAAGAAUAGCCUUACCAAUAAUAACAUGAAAUAACAAACGUUCCAAAGAUCUAUUGGUUGCAUGAAUUUUACCAGUGAUACUUGUUUGUUUAAAACCCUUCAAUAUCUAAACAUAGAUAUAAGCAAAAUAUCUAAGUAAAUGUCCAUGAUUAGACCAAACGUAGUGAAGGCACCGCUUGGCGUAUGUGACAUACACCAUCGAUGAUGGCAUGCCAAGUUGAUAAGCUCCAAACCAUUUUUUUUCCAAAUGUUGUAGCUUUCUUUUUUAUUUUAAUAAAAGACAAAACUGCGAGAUUGGUCCUUAUGGUAUUCAAAAAACUUUGGAUGGGGUCCAAAAACUUUAUGACUUGCAUAGAAGGUCCAAAAUCAAGAUUUUUCCGUAUUUUUGGUCCAAAAAAACUUGAAAAGACGGUUAUGCCAUUUUACUUUCUUUUUUGUAUUUUUUAUAAAUUUUCAAAUACUAAUUUAAUUUAAAAAUAAAAAAGAAAAGAAAGCAAUUAUCCCCCAACAACCUCUCUCUCUCUCUCUCUCUCUCUCUCUCUCUCUCUCUCUCUCNCUCUCUCUCGUUUUAAUUCCCAGAACACAAUCCGUCACUAUCAUCUUCUUCACAACCCAACUCCACCCUUCUUCCUUUCUUACGCGUCGGUCCUCUCCAUCAUCUAGUCGAGCACUAUGCUCACAUAUUAGAUGGAAGAAAAGGAAACCCAUCAAUCAACACAACAACCAUCAUUGUCAAAAAAAAAUAACCCAAACACCUUUGUCGAGCUCCACCAUCCACGAGAGCAGAGUGCCGAAAAAAAUAGAUCAGUGGUCUAACUGCUACCAAGAUCUUCGUCCUUAGGUACACUGAAAAAUCCAAGUUUUAAGCCCCGUUUUUGUGUUGUGGUUUUCAUCUUAAAGGUUAAUCUCCAUAUUCAUAUUGACUGUACUUUUUUACUUUGGGGGUUAGCAAAAUCGACGUCACCGCCAUCUAAUUCUCGUACUCCUCCGUUACAACCACCAGCAAUCACCACCGCUGCAACCAACAGCGGCCACCAUCGCUGCAAUCUCAUAUGGGUUUUCUAACCUGCAAUAUAACCCAUAUAUGAUGGGUAGAAAUCAGAAGUAUAGAAUUAACCCUCACCGGUGACUUACCUAAUAAAAUUUGGGGGUUAAAGAGUCUUGAAGUGAUUGACAUUAAAGGGAAUUUGGUUACUGGAGGCUUAUCCAUGAUCGAUUUCUCCAAUUUAAAGAAGUUACAGGUUCUUUGAUUGGAACCCUAAGAUUCUUCUGACAAACAGUUUUUGGAUUUUGACUUGGGUAAGAUAAUAGAGUAGUGUGUUGUUAAAGGGGAAAGGGGGUUUCAUUGUAUGUUUAUGGGACCGAUGGUGGGGUUCAAUCAGCAGGAGGCUGAACAAAGUGAGGGGUAUGCCGAUGGAGUUGUGGAAGAUUCUUAACGAUGAAUAUGAAUGAAUCUGGGUUAGGUUAGGAGAGAGAGAGAGAGAGAGAUGGGAGGUGGGUGGACCCGUCCUUCUAUUUUUCUUUUCUUUUGCUUUUUUUGUUAAUUAUAAAACAAUUAAAACAAAUAAAAAAAAUGUGAAAAUUAAAUAAUAAGGGCAAAAUAGUCCUUUCAAAUUUGCAAGGACCAAAACCAAAGAAAAUUCUUGAUUUUGGACCUUCCAUGUAAGUUGAAAACUUUUUGGACCCCAUCCAAAGUUUUUUGUAAACCACAAGGACCAAUUUGGCAGUUUUGUCUUAAUAAAAUGAUUGUUUUUUUUUUCAAAUGUAUUAAAUUAAAAAAAAAAACAUAAAUAAAUAAAAUCUUGACCCGCUUCCUGAAAAUGACAUGUCAUUCAUGUUGUGUUGAAAAGAUGACAUGACCAGUGAGAUAGAUGUCAAAAAGUUUAUGUGGCGACUUAACAUGUCAUGUGCCACUCCGUCAAACAUUAUAAUAAAGAAAAAAACUAUAGCUUUGCUUCCGAACAUAACGUUUGUAUUGUUCUUGUCACUUAAACUAAAAAAUCCACAUUAAAACUUCUAGUUUAAUUCAAACCAAUUAAUUGGUUUAGUAAAAACUAAAAGUGAAAAAUUGCCUUACAAGUUGAAAAAUAACUUGAUUAUGGCCCUCAAAAGUGGGUUUCUAAGAACUCAAAAACUACACAAGCCUCCUCAAAUAUCAAUUUAAUUCAAGAUUAAUAACUAAAGAACAUUUUAUCUUUGCAUUUAAUAUAACAAAUUUCAUAAUAUUCAUCUCAUCAACUUUAAGUCAUCAACUUUAAGUGAGAGGAGUUGGGAGGAAAAAGGAACAAAAGCAAAUAGCUAAAAGGGUUAGCUCCUUAAUACACACAAUUAAACCAUGUUUUAUGAAAUAGUCAUGUAUGUCUAUCUAGAUUAAACUCAUCAAGUCAAAAAGAAACAGCCGCUUAGGGCGUUACACAUAUCUUUUACGAACGAAUCAACAAAGUUUGAUCCACUAUUUUGAGAACAUCAACAUACAUUAAAUUUUUUUACAUCAAAAGGGGACUUAGACAAGUUUUCUAAGAUGAUAAUGAAAUUUAUGCAUUUUGCACACGCGAAGCGUUGAAUGACUUUUUAGGGUGAAACACAAAAUUGUAAUUUUCGUCUUAUUGAUAUCAGUCUCGGUUCUAGCUUCAAUGAAUGUCAAACACAAUACAACAUGUUCUUUCAUAUCAUGUCAUGUUAUUUCAUGUUAGUACCUUUUCACGAGUCCUGCAAAUGAUUAACAAUGAUACAACUACAUUUACGGAUUGAUAAAGUUUAUGCAUAAUUAGUUGCACGUCAUUUGGUGAGGGGUAGCUAUUAAUUUAUUUAUAUGAACAACUUCUUUAAUCUAAUGUAAUAAAAAGUUGCAUUGAUAAUCAUCGUAACUUGUUACUUAUGAUUUUCUUUUUUUGAUAAAAAAAAAGGAUGAAUUAUUACUGGCUUCUCAAGUAUAACGAAGUUUUAUUCAUGCUGCAAAUAAAACAAAUUUCUGUUAGUAACUAGUAUUAUUUACAUAUUAAUUUGCAAUGUUGAUCGCCCCUUAGACGAUCUCCAUUCACAACCAAAUCCAACUCAACUAUCUAUUAAAAUAUUAAUUUCCUUUUCUUCCAUCUAUACAAUCAGCUAACCUUAAAUUUUUACAACCAUUAACAACUUUAUCCAACCAAACCCAAUCUAACAUUUGAUAUAAAAAAGAUAUAAAAAAUUAUCAAAAAAAUAUAUCAAUGGUGAUAUCAUUUUGUAGAUAAUUGUUUUCUACAUAUUUUAGUAUAUUUUAUUUAUUUAUUUUACAAAUAUAUCAUUUAAUUAUUGAUAAAGUAAAUAUAUUAAAAAACUAAAUUAAAAGAAAAACUGAGAAAUAGACAAGUGGUAGAGAGAGAAGUGCCAACCAACCAGUGUUUUAGUCACCAAUGAGAGUAGUCUUACAAGGUUACCGUUCAUUUGGUUUUACUAUUUCCAAACCAAAAAUUGAUAAAUUCAUAUCACACUACCAUCUUUACAGAAUAUAAUACAAGAUGCAAAAUAACCAUUUAUCUGGAAAUAGCGAUUUUAUGCCAAACAGAAAAUGUUGAGGAGCAUAGAGUUGUAAAACCAUGGCUUGUUUCCUCAACUGUAAAAGAUACCUAACACCAAAUAAACAACUUUUGUAAUCUUAGAAGAAAAUAUUGAUCAAUUUUUAAUAUAUAAUUUUGUAGAUUACUAGUGCUAUACUCACCAUAGGCAAAAUACAACAUGCAAGUUCAUCAAGUGUUUGUGAAGUGGACUCACAUUUCCAAGUAAACAUGAACAGUCUUCUGCCCCAUGUGAAAACCAUUCAGCCUUAACUAAACUAUAAUAACAAAUUAAACCUGAUGAGAUUAUUGAUUAAAAUAUAGAGAUUUACUUUUCCUUUCCAAUCAUUUUCAACAUCUUUAUGCCAAUCAUGACACGAUAGUAUUUCAGCAGAAGAGCUGAGUUUUUUGCACACAGUGGCUUAUGAGUUCCCGAAUGUUAACCAGUUUAUGUCUGGACAUGUCAGCAUCUAACAAAAAGAAGAGAAAUACAGAAAUGCAAUAGGAGGGAGGAGGGUAGUGGGUACCUAACCUUGCUAAAGCAAUGAAGUGUCUCUUUGACUACUAAUUAAACUUGAAACAAAAGGUAUUUCUGGAUUAACAGCCAUGGAAUCAUUAAGAGUUGCUUUGUUAAGUAUUGUAUCAGUCAUCAUGACAAAAAAAAAAAAACAAUUGGUACAAAAGGAUAUUAUAACAUUAAAAUGUAAUGUAAACAACCAUAUCUUAAAAUCAUAAAGAGUUGAAUAAGAUCAAAAAGACAACAAAACUAAUGUCUGAACCACUAUCACAAAAACCAAUCAAGAUUCAACACCCAUAAACAUAAGUUCAAAAAACCCUAAGCAACAAUGGAAGGCUUAGAAGCAGAUGAAAGCCUGGACCUCUUUUUAGCAAGACUCUCACUUCGCUUUUCCCUUUGCUCCUUGAGCCUGCUUGCAAGAAGCUUCUGGUAAUCUGCAGCCUCUGAUUUGGCCUUUGCAAUCCUCUUCUUCUUGUCAGCAAUUCUCGCCCUCUUCCUUUGAAGUGUAAGUGGUGUCACCAACCUCUGUAUCUUAGGAGCCUUGCUCACCUCCUUACCUGUAUGUAUCAAAAAUUACCAUUACACCCUCCAAUCAAUGAUUCAUUCUACUAUAUACCCUUUUGCAAGAGACAUAAAAAUCAAAGGCUUACCAGCUUUGUUUGUGAAGGUUCUGCGAUAGGUGUUGACAUACUUCCUGACAUCAUCUUCUUUUGAGAGAUUGAAAAGCUUGCGGAUCUUUGAUGCUCUUUUGGGUCCCCUCAUCCUUGGCUUCUCAACAUCGGUCAGUCCGGGCAGGUCAUUGUCACCCUUCUUCACAAUCACCAAAUUCAAGACAGACAGAUCUUGGCUCACAAUGCACCCUCGCACAGACUUCCUCCUGCGUUCACCAUUACGCCUUCCAUACCCCCUGAAGCAAGGAGUACCUAGAUAGGGGCAAAAAAGUCAUUUACUUAAUAUCAAAGCAAAUUGAUUAAAGUAUAUAAAGUUAAA